rnacentral:tRNA from 1 species
GGUUCCAUGGUGUAAUGGUAAGCACUCCAGACUCUUAAUUUGGUGAUUCGAGUUCAAGUCUCGGUGGAACCU